AUGUAAAUUGUCCCUAUUGUGUAGGAUAGUGCUAGUGUACUGUGUGAUCGCUGGUCGGCGUGGACUUGGUGGGCCGAAGGGCCUGUUUCCGUGCUGUAUCUCUAAAGUCUAAAGAUUAUCUUGCCCUGGACAAAUACAAUUGCCAUUUAUUAUAUUAUGAUUGGUUUAAAGAGUUAUUUAUGUACGAAGAGCUGUAUCUUAUGUAUCUUCUCUUUACUGGUGCGAGCGACUAGAACCAGUGCUUGGUUAUCAUAUGUUAUCUUCAACAUGACAUCAGU